rnacentral:rRNA from 2 species
GCAUAUCAAUAAGCGGAGGAAAAGAAACUAACAAGGAUUCCCCUAGUAACUGCGAGUGAAGCGGGAAAAGCUCAAAUUUAAAAUCUGGCAGUCUUUUGGCUGUCCGAGUUGUAAUUUAGAGAAGCGUCUUCCGCGCCGGACCGUGCACAAGUCUCCUGGAAUGGAGCGUCAUAGAGGGUGAGAAUCCCGUCUUUGGCAUGGACACCCGGGGCUUCUGCGAUGCGCUCUCGAAGAGUCGAGUUGUUUGGGAAUGCAGCUCAAAAUGGGUGGUGAACUCCAUCUAAAGCUAAAUAUUGGCGAGAGACCGAUAGCGAACAAGUACCGUGAGGGAAAGAUGAAAAGCACUUUGGAAAGAGAGUGAAACAGUACGUGAAAUUGUUGAAAGGGAAACGCUUGAAGUCAGUCGCGUCGAUCGAGACUCAGCCUUGCCUUGGCUUGGCAUACUUCUCGGCUGACGGGCCAGCAUCAAUUUUGUCUCUCGGAUAAUGACAAGGGAAAGGUGGCACCUUCACCGGUGUGUUAUAGUCUCCUGUCGCAUGCGAGGGGUGGGAUUGAGGAACUCAGCACGCACCUCUUGGUGUCGGGGCUUCUGCCCACGCUACGUGCUUAGGAUGUUGGCGUAAUGGCUUUAAACGACCCGUCUUGAAACAC